AUUGAACGCUUGCGGCAUGCUUUACACAUGCAAGUCGAACGGUAACAGGCCGCAAGGUGCUGACGAGUGGCGAACGGGUGAGUAAUGCAUCGGAACGUGCCCAGUCGUGGGGGAUAACGCAGCGAAAGCUGCGCUAAUACCGCAUACGAUCUAUGGAUGAAAGCGGGGGACCGUAAGGCCUCGCGCGCUUGGAUCGGCCGAUGUCAGAUUAGGUAGUUGGUGGGGUAAAGGAUCACCAAGCCAACGAUCUGUAGCUGGUCUGAGAGGACGACCAGCCACACUGGGACUGAGACACGGCCCAGACUCCUACGGGAGGCAGCAGUGGGGAAUUUUGGACAAUGGGCGCAAGCCUGAUCCAGCAAUGCCGCGUGCAGGAAGAAGGCCUUCGGGUUGUAAACUGCUUUUGUACGGAACGAAACGGCUCUGGUUAAUACCUGGGGCUAAUGACGGUACCGUAAGAAUAAGCACCGGCUAACUACGUGCCAGCCGCCGCAGUAAUAC
rnacentral:rRNA from 1 species